GUUGCCUAAGUGGCACCGGGCUCAGCCAUGUGCUAAAAUCACAGCCUGAGCAGGCUCUCUGAGCUUUAUUGUCAACUUUACAUGAUAAAGAUAACAGCAGCUUCCUUGAAGACUGCUUUAAGAAUUGCAGAUUCAUCAUUAGUUGGGCUUUCAUCAUGUUGACCAGGCUGGUCUCGAACUCCUUACCUCAGGUGAUCCACCUGCCUCUACCACAGAAAAUGCUGUGAUUACAGAAGCUCUUCAACACAGCUACCUUUUAUGUUAUAUGUUCACCCUGAAACCAAUUACUGUACUACUUCCUGUCACCAUGUGAAGAAGGAUGUGUUUGCUUCACCUUCUGCCAUAAUUGUAAUUUUCCUGAGGCCUCCCCAACCUUGCAGAACUACUUCCUGUUCCUUGAUGCUCAAGAGAGGGAGAAAAAAAGACAAGAUAAGUCUAUAGUGGACCUUGGCACUUGGAAAUUCACCAGGGAAAAACUAGACGAUACUGUGUGAAGGUCUGACCAACAUAAAGGAUGCGACAAGGAUGCCCCAAGACUCAGGAUGUUGGGAAGUUAAGGCACCAGGAGUAACCAGAAUGCAGAAUGAAGAAUAGUUCUUCUGCUGUGAGGAUCCACUGGGUUGCCACUGACCCAUUGCCUGAGGGUACGCAAUGAAACCGGAAUCAGUGACUGUAGAUGGCAGCUCAGACGGGGAAACGACACGUCUAAUAACCAACAGGAAUGGAUAUUAAUUAGGUGGAAUGACAAUAAUUAACAGAAAUGACAAGUCUAAUAAAUUUUCACUUAAGUGUUGUCAUAUGGCA